UACGGGGGGGGCAAGCGUUGUUCGGAAUUACUGGGCGUAAAGGGCUCGUAGGUGGCCAACUAAGUCAGACGUGAAAUCCCUCGGCUUAACCGGGGAACUGCGUCUGAUACUGGAUGGCUAGAGAUUGGGAGAGGGAUGCGGAAUUCCAGGUGUAGCGGUGAAAUGCGUAGAUAUCGAGAGGAACACCUGCGGCGAAGGCGGGUAGCUGGGCCGACACUGACGCUGAUGCGCGAAAGCCAGGGGAGCGAACGGG
rnacentral:rRNA from 1 species